GAGCGUGAAUGUUUUUAUUUUUAUUUUUUUUAAGUGCCAGAUGUUCAGCAGUUUGUGUUGUUAAUUUCCACAAGACUUUUAGAUACAGUUGAAUUGUAUUUGUUUGUACAAAAUACAAAUUUAAUAUGUGAAUAGUUUUUUGUGAAAUUACUUCGUUUCUGUGAGCUAAUUAAAAUAAUGAAAACCUGUUAAAUAUUUUUUUUACCAUUAAAUUUUCAGUCCUUUAUUAAUUUUUUAUGGGAAAAUUAUUCUCUGUGUUUAACCCAUCAAUAAAACACGGGGCAGGGAUUUAAACCGACAACUGUCAAAUCAAAAGCUCAAUCGUUCACAACCAAAAUAUAACAUAAAAGAAAAAGAUAAAGACGUUAUGUUUAUGAUCGAUUAAAGUGUUAAAAUGUAUUCGGUCUAGAUUAGAAAACACUUAAAUAAAUACUUUAUUCACAUUUUCUACUAACGCCGGACUGUUCCCAUCUGUGACAGCAGGGGGAGACCGGAGUCUGCGCUAAGAAACGCCACCCGUAGGUAGGUGGGAUCUCAGUUAGGAGAGGGGAGGAGAAGGAGGAGAAUGAGAAGAAAAGGCGAGUUCAUUUCAGCUCGUGCACCGACGGGCCGUUCAGUCGAGUGUCAGAGAGAAGGAGGGAGGGCGGAGGAGAGGAAAUCUCCUCAGAGCACAGACAAAAGAGUUAGGAGUUUGUUUACGUCCUCUGCUUCAGCGGUUUCCACACUUUCGGCGCGGAUUACAAUUCCACCAUCUCAGCAGCAAAUCCUUGGAUUUUUACCUAUACAUCACACAGCUUUGCACCGUCGUAUCUACGGGGACCGUGGUUAUGCUGCGUCACUGACAUGAACUCUCCGUCCAGACAGCAGUCGAACCGGCCCGAUGGCGCGGCUUCAGUAGCGGGGAGCGGAGGAGACCCAGCUCCCGUCCGUGCGCAAAACCCGGGUUUCAGCGGAGAGCCGAGCUCUGGCCACCACAGCUUGGUCGAAGGAGAAGGAGGAGGAGGAGGAGGAGGAGAAGAGCAGGAAACCGCGGUUCGGUGCAGAACCAACGCCGCCAACGACACCCUGGUGGUUUAUCAGAGCAGGUCAAUAUUCCACUUCACCCGCCGCCAGUCCAGCGGGUAUUUCUCUUUGGACAGCGACUCCGUGCCGAGCUCCCCGAGGCCAGUGACGGCUGACAAAGCCACGCAGACUCCGAGUCCCUCCGCCCAGGUGAUCAAUCACGCCCUGCUGAGCGUGGCCGAGACGCAGCGGACGAACGACCGGCACAGCUCCUCUAGCACAAGGCGAGGAAGAGCAGCGAGGGACAUGCAGGCGGAGAGGGCCGGACAAGAGCUCCAGCGGAUUGGAGACGACUACGACAGAUUCAUCCGGAACCGGGCGGCAGUUAGACGACGGCAAGCUGUGAUUGGUGAGAACCCUCCCAGGCCCGGUGUGCUGCUGUUUGUGGGCCUUCUGCUCCUUGUUAUUGGACGGAUUAUCUACCUGCACGGCGUUAUGAGCAGCCAUGACCUAUCUCAGGUUUAGCCUUCGGAAAGUAACCCAGUGAGCGUAGCCCUUUCCGACUCCUGUCUUCCCGUCCGUCCGUCCGUGAGGUUGAAAAUGCGUCUUUUUGACUGGGACCUGAUUUUUUCCAUCCGACGCCUUUCUUUGUUCUUCAGCAGAGGAAGGGCAGUUUGGACUCUUUGGCAACGUUUAAGGGAUGUUUGUUAAAUUCUGCACCUUCUCCAUUUUUCCCGUCACAGUCUCUGAGCCUCCGUGACGACGCCAAAGAUUGAGCCGGGUUUUUGCACUGCUUCCACACAGAGGCGGCGACGUCAUCUGAAUCAAAGAUGCCUGUGGACGUUCAAAUGUGCCUUGAACAGGACUGUUUGGACCCAACUCUGCCGACCCGGGGUUGUUAAAAAAAAUGGGUCGGAUUAACGGAUUAACAGAACUCUACCAGAUCUUUUCCUUUCGGAGGAUUUUGGAUUGGAUACACACUCCUGUCACAAUAGGAACCAACAUGAAACCAACCUCUGACCCAGGGGCCAAAUUUGGACGUUUAUUCCGUAUAUAUAUAUUUUCACAGGUGUUUUGCCUCCAUUGACGACUUGUAUGCUAGCAGUAAGUCAACAGUUUGUCUCCACUUCUGGCCACGGGAGCGGAUCGUGUCCUCUUUUUUUUAUCGAUGAACUGUAAGUGCAGGUGACUGCGGUUUAUAGAUCCUGUCCAGUUCAGUCCACAUUGAAAUUCCAAGCAGAAGUAUCGGAACAUUUUCUGCUGUCUUCAGCUGCUUAAAGUUCUGGUUCGGGGGCAACAUUGACUGACCUGGGACCAGCUGAGCUCAGCUCAAAUGCACAAACAUUUUGGGGAAAAUGUAGCGGCAGCUACGACGUGGGCUCAUCACAAACAAAUUAUUCUGCGUAUUUUUUGACUUGUCUAUGGAAAAAGUUUCCAUUU